AGAGAGAUAUCACUAUUAAUAUAUAGUUCUAUUCCCUUUUCUCCUUUUUCCUUUUUAAAAUACCCGAAAUAAUGUUUCAAUACGCGCGAAUAAUGGAGAAGAGAUGCGAUGCUGGAACAGAUAUCUAAAAUUAACGUUUGUUCUGUACGUAGUGCUAUAUGAGGCUUUAAAAUACGCGCUCGAGAGCAAAGUCGACUAGCUCUUUGAAAUCAAUUUCUGAAAUCGAAUUUUUUGUUGAGCGAAAUAAAGCUUCCGAUUAAAUACUCAAUAAUAAUACAAAGUACGCAGCACUCUUCUUGAUACAUUAUAACAUAUACUGCGAGGGAUUAAUGCGAAAUAAGUAUUCAUAGAUGCUUAUUUAUUCGUGCAGCAACGUAAUGCACGCGGCACUUAUAAGUCUGCCGUUUAUAAUGAGAAACGGCAAUAGACUGUUAAUGCGGUAGAAAAUGUUUCGUUGCUUGCGCUGCAAAUGUAAUACGGACUACACGUAUGUCGACUGAUACGCCGUUGGAAUAAUCGUGGUGUUGUACUACGACAAACGACGUAUGUAACUGUUAACAAUGAUGAAGCAUAAAAUAGUUAAAAUUUUCUCUCGACUUUGCAAGCCACCAGCUUACGUCUCCUCUUCGACAUUCUUCGCGAUGUUAUCUUUCUAUUCCCAAGAGCUCCUUCUGUCUGCGGGAGCGCGCAGACCGGACGCGGCGGAGUGCUCGGCGAGAAUCUACUAGUCACCACUUCGUAUCAAUAUGCAUUAACGCAAAUUUCUUCAGUCAGACUCUGACUCGAGUGUCUCUAGUAGCGACUGUUCGUCAACGCGGAGCGACGCUCAUUCGUAUGGAAAUCUCAUGUGGGUCACAGCAGCACAAGUACGCAGCUAUGACGCCUGGAAACAUGGAUCUCAUGUGUGCGUCACGAUUUCACGCGAAAUUCCGUAUAUUCUAGAGGAAACAUCGCGAGUCAAGCCAGAGUCGUGCAAAUGUUGGAAAAAAUGGAUCAUCUUGUGUCGUGCAGAGUGAAGAGCAGAGAACAAAAACUCAUAUCUAGCCCUAAAUUAAAACCUGGCGCAAUUCAAUCCUGAAUUUUGUAUAGAUGUAGAAUUCGCGUACGUUAUUGUAAAUCGAGAAUGACAUGUUUAGAUCCUAGGAUCGUCCCUCGUGCGUGGGACGUUGAAUUAUUAUCGAACAAAAUUAAUGUGACACGUCGCAAUUGACAAAAUGUAGUAUCACAUUUAAUGUACUGUAAUCUCAUAACUAUCAUCGGAAUUUUUUUAUAGCUGUAAAUGCUGCCUUAUAAAUUUCAUGUACUUGACAGAGAAGCUUGUGUACGAUCACUCAAUUAAAGGGAACAGCAAUAGAACUUUAUCAGGCAGCAGAUACAUACCGAUAAAAAUGAAAGCGGUAUGCUUGAAUUCGCGAGGACGACUUUGCAAGUAGCAGCAGAUGGCAAUGUCUUGUAAUGUUUCGGAAUACCGUGCAGUAUUUCGGCCGAUGAGCAGGCUCGCGGCAUAGCAUGUACAUCCCAGUUUAAUGCAAUCGAUCGAUUAUAUGUAUAUGUAUGUACACAUAUAAAUACAUAUGUAUGGAUUCGCGAAUCCUUGGAUUCAUGGAUCUUCGGCUCUGUACUGAAACUCUGUAUUCAUAUACGCUUGUAUCUUUUCGCGGGUCCCCGCAUCUGCGAAGAGAUACAAGCGCAGAUCAGUUGCAGGUCAAUGAAUCGUCAAAUCUGUUUGACGAAUCGUACAUCUACAGUUUCUCAAACUCGCGCUUUCCAAGAUCAUCGAAUUCGAACAACCUUACAAUUUCACGAAUCUUUUGAUUUACAAAUCGCGCGAUCGCUUUGUUUAAAUUUACAAAUCCCCGGUAAUUUUCCUAGAUCCACAAAUUCCCACGGACACAUAGAUACUAAUACUUUCGCAGUGAAUAUAAUAAAUUUGGAUCCAUGAAUCGUGUUUACGUCCACGAGUCAUAGCUCUGUAAAUAUGUCGUUCUGUUUCUAGAUCCGUGGUGCUAUAAAUCUCUGAUCUCAACGUAAAUCCCCGUUUACAGAUCCUUGGAUUCACUGGUCCGCUUAUCAGACUCUAUUCGUCAUGUAGAAUUAGGAGAGACUAUUUUCCCGUUUCGUCUUCGACGACGAAUACAUGUAUCUUUUUUUUACAUUAUGUAUACAACAUAUAUAUAUAUAAGUAGUGUGUAAUGUAAACGUUUAUAUAUAUACAAUGUAUACUUUAGCUUUAGCAAGGCGUCUAUAAAUUGUACAUAGAAAGACACGAUUAUUAACGUUAAGCGAGCACUAAGAUGGUUUCUAAUGAUGUGCUACGAUUUGAAUACUACUAUUCCCUUUUUUACUCCAUUUUUCGUUCAGUUUCCUCUUUCUCUUCAUUUCUACCUAAUCCCUCCUCGUAUUUUUAUCUUUAGCAAAUUAUUAUAAAAUUUCGCAAAAAAAAAUGUAGUAGCUAUUUCAUUAGAAGUACUUUUGUGAAAGGCGACAAAGGAACGAUAUUUCUUUAACUCAGUGAAACUGUACAUAUAUAUAGCCGAAGUGUACUGUAAUUAAUUAUUACCGACGAGUUUUGGCGAGGGAUCAAACCAAUUUUGCAUACCGGAUAGUCCAAAGCGUUAGCCAAUUUUUGUCGACAUAGAGCUAUAAUGUAACAGAGAGUUAUGAGCGUAUUAAAUCAAUUAUGUUCGUAAA